UGAAUAUUCGAAUCGAUGAAUGCUCGAGAAUUAAUUAAAGUUUCGAGUAUCUUGAUUUCGUCUAUUUGAAUAGGAAGAUCUGGUGC